rnacentral:rRNA from 1 species
AUUGAACGCUGGCGGCAGGCCUAACACAUGCAAGUCGAGCGAGCGGCGGACGGGUGAGUAAUGUAUGGGGACUGCCCGAUAGAGGGGGAUAACUACUGGAAACGGUGGCUAAUACCGCAUACUAUCGGAUAACCCAUAUGGGAUGAGCUAGUAGGUGGGGGAAAGGCUCACCUAGGCGACGAUCUCUAGCUGGUCUUAGAGGAUGAUCAGCCACACUGAGAUUGAGACAGGGCCCAGACUCUGACGGUGGCAGACGUGGGGGAUAUUGCCCAAUGGGGGCAAGCCUGAUGCAGCCAUGCCGCGUGUAUGAAGAAGGCCUUAGGGUUGUAAAGUACUUUCAGCGGGGAGGCGUUACCCGCAGAAGAAGCACCGGCUAACUCCGUGCCAGCAGCCGCGGUAAUAC